AUUCUGCCCAUGCGGGGAAGGAUGAGAAGCUUCGACUAAGGUUCGGCUCGAGCGUCAGCGAGAGAGCGUUGCCGCAGGCAACGACCCGAAGGGCGAAGCGCGCAGCG
rnacentral:sRNA from 1 species